UGGAGCCGUAUGAGGUGAAAGUCUCACGUACGGUUCUUAGGCGAGAAAGAGGGAGUAAUCACUCCGACUUAGCCGAC
rnacentral:ncRNA from 1 species